rnacentral:rRNA from 1 species
UGGGGAAUAUUGGGCAAUGGGCGAAAGCCUGACCCAGCAACGCCGCGUGAGGGAAGAAGGUCUUCGGAUUGUAAACCUUUGUCCUAUGGGACGAAACAAAUGACGGUACCAUAGGAGGAAGCUCCGGCUAACUACGUGCCAGCAGCCGCGGUAAUACGUAGGGAGCAAGCGUUGUCCGGAAUUACUGGGCGUAAAGGGUGCGUAGGUGGCCAUGUAAGUUAGGUGUGAAAAGACCGGGGCUUAAACCCCGGGGCGGCACUUAAAAACUGUGUGGCUUGAGUACAGGAGAGGGAAGUGGAAUUCCUAGUGUAGCGGUGAAAUGCGUAGAUAUUAGGAGGAACACCAGUGGCGAAGGCGACUUUCUGGACUGUAACUGACACUGAGGCGCGAAAAGCGUGGGGAGCAAAACAGGAUUAGAUACC